rnacentral:rRNA from 1 species
CCAACAGGGAUUGCCUCAGUAACGGCGAGUGAAGCGGCAACAGCUCAAAUUUGAAAUCUGGCUCUUUCAGGGUCCGAGUUGUAAUUUGUAGAAGAUGCUUCGGGUGUGGCUCCGGUCUAAGUUCCUUGGAACAGGACGUCAUAGAGGGUGAGAAUCCCGUAUGUGACUGGGUGCCUUCGCUCAUGUGAAGCUCUUUCGACGAGUCGAGUUGUUUGGGAAUGCAGCUCAAAAUGGGUGGUAAAUUUCAUCUAAAGCUAAAUAUUGGCCAGAGACCGAUAGCGCACAAGUAGAGUGAUCGAAAGAUGAAAAGCACUUUGGAAAGAGAGUUAAACAGUACGUGAAAUUGUUGAAAGGGAAGCGCUUGCAACCAGACUUGCACGCGGUUGAUCAUCCGGUGUUCUCACCGGUGCACUCUGCCGCGUUCAGGCCAGCAUCGGUUUUGGUGGUUGGAUAAAGGCCUAGGGAAUGUAGCUUCUUUCGGGGAGUGUUAUAGCCCUAGGUGCAAUGCAGCCUACUAGGACCGAGGACCGCGCUUCGGCUAGGAUGCUGGCGUAAUGGUUGUAAGCGACCCGUCUUGAAACACGGACCAAGGAGUCUAACAUCUAUGCGAGUGUUUGGGUGUCAAACCCAUACGCGUAAUGAAAGUGAACGGAGGUGAGAACCCUUAAGGGUGCAUCAUCGACCGAUCCUGAUGUCUUCGGAUGGAUUUGAGUAAGAGCAUAGCUGUUGGGACCCGAAAGAUGGUGAACUAUGCGUGAAUAGGGUGAAGCCAGAGGAAACUCUGGUGGAGGCUCGCAGCGGUUCUGACGUGCAAAUCGAUCGUCAAAUUUGCGCAUAGGGGCGAAAGACUAAUCGAAUCGAACCAUCUAGUAGCUGGUUC